GAUGAACGCUAGCUACAGGCUUAACACAUGCAAGUCGAGGGGUAACGAGAGGAAAGCUUGCUUUCCUUGUCGACGACCGGCGCACGGGUGAGUAACGCGUAUCCAACCUGCCCCCAACUAGGGAAUAACCUUGCGAAAGUAAGACUAAUACCCUAUAAUUUCCUCAGAUGUCAUCUGACGAGGAAUAAAGAUUUAUCGGUUGUGGAUGGGGAUGCGUCUGAUUAGCUUGUUGGCGGGGUAACGGCCCACCAAGGCAACGAUAAGUAGGGGUUCUGAGAGGAAGGUCCCCCACAUUGGAACUGAGACACGGUCCAAACUCCUACGGGAGGCAGCAGUGAGGAAUAUUGGCCAAUGGGCGGAAGCCUGAACCAGCCAAGUAGCGUGCAGGAUGACGGCCCUAUGGGUUGUAAACUGCUUUUAUACUGGAAUAAAGUUAGCCACGUGUGGUUAUCUGUAGGUACUGUAUGAAUAAGGACCGGCUAAUUCCGUGCCAGCCGCCGCCGUAA
rnacentral:rRNA from 1 species